UGGGGAAUAUUGGACAAUGGGGGGAACCCUGAUCCAGCCAUGCCGCGUGUGUGAAGAAGGCCUUAUGGUUGUAAAGCACUUUAAGCGAGGAGGAGGCUCUUUUGGUUAAUACCCAAGAUGAGUGGACGUUACUCGCAGAAUAAGCACCGGCUAACUCUGUGCCAGCAGCCGCGGUAAUACAGAGGGUGCGAGCGUUAAUCGGAUUUACUGGGCGUAAAGCGUGCGUAGGCGGCUUUUUAAGUCGGAUGUGAAAUCCCCGAGCUUAACUUGGGAAUUGCAUUCGAUACUGGGGAGCUAGAGUAUGGGAGAGGAUGGUAGAAUUCCAGGUGUAGCGGUGAAAUGCGUAGAGAUCUGGAGGAAUACCGAUGGCGAAGGCAGCCAUCUGGCCUAAUACUGACGCUGAGGUACGAAAGCAUGGGGAGCAAACAGG
rnacentral:rRNA from 1 species